GACGAACGCUGGCGGCGUGCUUAACACAUGCAAGUCGAGCGGAGCGGCGAACGGGUGAGUAACGCGUGAGUAACUGCCCCCCUCUCUGGGAUAACAGUUGGAAACGGCUGCUAAUACCGGAUAGUGGGGGAUGACUCGCGUCCUAUCAGCUUGUUGGUGGGGUAGUGGCCUCCCAAGGUGACGACGGGUAGCCGGCCUUGGAGGUCGACCGGCCACAUUGGGCAUCCAUACUACCCCAACUCCUACAUUAGGCAGCGUUGGGGAAUGUUGCACAAUAGGGGAAACCCUGAUGCAGCCACGCCGCGUGCUCGAUGACGGCCUUCGGGUUGUAAACCGCUUUCAGCCAUGACGCGGUAGUGGCAGAAGAAGCACCGGCUAACUACGUGCCAGCAGCCGCGGUAAUUC
rnacentral:rRNA from 1 species